AGCCCCUGGCAAUGGACAAAGAGACACCUUGUUGUUGGUGGCGUUCUUCUAUCAGUCAGGGCAGAGCAGAUGGCAGUCCUUUGCUCAUACUAGCCUGAUGCCUAGCUUGGUGGCCAAAGCUGUUUUGUGCCUAGGACAUAUAA